GGAGAGAUCGCUGAGUGGAUUAAAGCGGCGGAUUGUUAAUCCGUUGUACGAGUUCAUCGUACAGAGGGUUCAAAUCCCUCUCUUUCCG
rfam:Solanum lycopersicum cultivar Heinz 1706 chromosome 5, whole genome shotgun sequence.